UUUUAUGGAGAGUUUGAUCCUGGCUCAGAGUGAACGCUGGCGGCGUGCCUAAUACAUGCAAGUCGAACGAUGAAGCUUCUAGCUUGCUAGAAUGCCAAUUAGUGGCGCACGGGUGAGUAACGCAUAGGUUAUGUGCCUCUUAGUUUGGGAUAGCCAUUGGAAACGAUGAUUAAUACCAGAUACUCCCUACGGGGGAAAGAUUUAUCGCUAAGAGAUCAGCCUAUGUCCUAUCAGCUUGUUGGUAAGGUAAUGGCUUACCAAGGCUAUGACGGGUAUCCGGCCUGAGAGGGUGAACGGACACACUGGAACUGAGACACGGUCCAGACUCCUACGGGAGGCAGCAGUAGGGAAUAUUGCUCAAUGGGGGAAACCCUGAAGCAGCAACGCCGCGUGGAGGAUGAAGGUUUUAGGAUUGUAAACUCCUUUUGUUAGAGAAGAUAAUGACGGUAUCUAACGAAUAAGCACCGGCUAACUCCGUGCCAGCAGCCGCGGUAAUACGGAGGGUGCAAGCGUUACUCGGAAUCACUGGGCGUAAAGAGCGCGUAGGCGGGAUAGUCAGUCAGGUGUGAAAUCCUAUGGCUUAACCAUAGAACUGCAUUUGAAACUACUAUUCUAGAGUGUGGGAGAGGUAGGUGGAAUUCUUGGUGUAGGGGUAAAAUCCGUAGAGAUCAAGAGGAAUACUCAUUGCGAAGGCGACCUGCUGGAACAUUACUGACGCUGAUUGCGCGAAAGCGUGGGGAGCAAACAGGAUUAGAUACCCUGGUAGUCCACGCCCUAAACGAUGGAUGCUAGUUGUUGGAGGGCUUAGUCUCUCCAGUAAUGCAGCUAACGCAUUAAGCAUCCCGCCUGGGGAGUACGGUCGCAAGAUUAAAACUCAAAGGAAUAGACGGGGACCCGCACAAGCGGUGGAGCAUGUGGUUUAAUUCGAAGAUACACGAAGAACCUUACCUAGGCUUGACAUUGAGAGAAUCCGCUAGAAAUAGUGGAGUGUCUAGCUUGCUAGACCUUGAAAACAGGUGCUGCACGGCUGUCGUCAGCUCGUGUCGUGAGAUGUUGGGUUAAGUCCCGCAACGAGCGCAACCCCCUUUCUUAGUUGCUAACAGGUUAUGCUGAGAACUCUAAGGAUACUGCCUCCGUAAGGAGGAGGAAGGUGGGGACGACGUCAAGUCAUCAUGGCCCUUACGCCUAGGGCUACACACGUGCUACAAUGGGGUGCACAAAGAGAAGCAAUACUGCGAAGUGGAGCCAAUCUUCAAAACGCCUCUCAGUUCGGAUUGUAGGCUGCAACUCGCCUGCAUGAAGCUGGAAUCGCUAGUAAUCGCAAAUCAGCCAUGUUGCGGUGAAUACGUUCCCGGGUCUUGUACUCACCGCCCGUCACACCAUGGGAGUUGUGUUUGCCUUAAGUCAGGAUGCUAAAUUGGCUACUGCCCACGGCACACACAGCGACUGGGGUGAAGUCGUAACAAGGUAACCGUAGGUGAACCUGCGGUUGGAUCACCUCCUUUCUAGA
rnacentral:rRNA from 1 species